rnacentral:rRNA from 1 species
GCCUACACACACUGCAAGUCGAGCGGACUGACGGGACGCUUGCUCCUUGAUUCAGCCGGCGGACGGGUGAGGUAAUGCCUAGGAAUCUGCCUGGGUAGCUAGGUGUGACAACGGUUUACAGAAAUGUGAAACAGCCUAAUAGCCUGACAUUACCGGCCACUUACCGCGCGCAUGACAANGCAGAGGAGAACCUUCGAGGCCUCUUGCGCUUACUCAGCAUAGAUGGCCUUAGAGUCCGUGAAUUAGGCUUAUGUUAUUAGCAGUUUAUGUGUGNGGGUUAACAAGUGAGGGGCUUACAUCCUACA